GGGUUAAUGUCUUUAAUUAAAUCAGAAAGUAUGCAGUUGGGAGUGGUCUCCAAUUGACAGUUAAAUCCAGUUUGAUUCUAAUGGUGCAGUUGAGAAAGUGGUAUCAGGACUGUUUAGUUCGAAGGAUUCUGUAACCAGCAGCACCUUUCAUACCUUUUGAUGUUUUUUUUGUUUGUUUGUUUUGUUUUGUUUUUGUUUUUGAGACAGAGUCUCGCUCUGGCCCAGGCUGGAGUGCAGUGGCCUGAUCUCGGCUCACUACAAGCUCCGCCUCCCAGGUUCACGCCAUUCUCCUUUGAUGGUUAUUUUAUGUGGUUAAUGAAUGGUAAAAAGAGAAGGGCCCUAUGGGUGAAACAAGUCUUAUUCCAAAGAAAAAUUGAAUGAAAUUCCUGGGGAAGUGAUCAAUAAUAUAUUUUCCUUUGUCUUUAGGUUGCCAUAGAAAGAGAAAUCUACAUUUCAGUUUUUAUAAAGCAGAGUGGAGUAAAGCAGCAAGCUGAGCUACUGGAGCACUGGGGGCUCUCACACACCUGGGAGACCUCUUCCUCCACAGGUGAAGCUGGUUUCAUUCGACUAAAGAGAGGGAGUCUGCUCACAAAGGCGUUUGGAACUCCAGAAGAUGGCUCUUUCCCACUGUUAAGCGAUGGAGAACUUGAUCUUCGGACAGACCAUCUCUGGAAAAGACUUUUAAUCUCUUCCAAAGACUUAAUGGGCAACCCCCCCAGUGAAGGGUGUCUGAUCUAUGAAAGACAAUUUAGAAAGGUCUCAAUACAGUCAAAAGCAGUUUCUAACAACUUUGAAGGCAAACUGGAAAUAAAUUAGAUAUAAAAAGAGUUACCACUCACUUAAAUGGCUAGCAGCCCAUUCUCUAUUUACGACCGCCAUGGAAAAUAUUAAUACAAAUAAAAAUUUGUUUUUUAAUAACUAUUCAGAUAAUUUGAUUUUUAUUAAUAUUUUUAAUAUUUAUGUAAUACUUUGCUAAUAUUUUAAUAAUAUUAAAAUGAAUGACAUACAUUUCUACAACCAUUUAGAAAGAAAUUUGACAACUGAUAAUAAAAGACAUAAAAUGUUAAUAUUGCUAGCAGUGGGCAUCCUUCAGCAAUUUUUUUUCUAAAGAAAUAACUUGAAAUACAGGAAUUCCAUGAUCUUAUCUGUGUGUAUCCUAACCAUAACAAUUUUAAAAUUAUAAGCAAAUUAAGUAUUCAGUAACAGCAAAAUAGACACAUCUUGAAAUGUUAUAUAAUAUUUAAAAAUGAAGCUUAUAAAGUCUAUAGGGCAAUACUGAAAAAGCUAUGAGACUAGUAUAAAAAAAGUAACAAGUAAUAAUAUACAUAACAAAAACACCAGAAGAAAGCAAAUCAAAAGAUUAACAAAAUGUAUUUUUCUCUUUUAUUUUCCAGAUUCUACAAGUUUGUUACUUUGAAUUUUCUUUUAAAUGGACCAGUAAGCAAAGUAGCUUCAUCAAGAAGAGUUAUCAAUAUCAUAAUGUGGAUUUGAAUUUCUAUUUUCAUAGAACUUUUUCUUAUUUGUACCCUGGUUUCUCUUAAAUCUUAACUUUUAUCAGUGACUAAACUGAGAAAUUCACAUUAAUCAUGGAAGGCCAAUUAAUUGGAUGGAAAAAUUUUCUCAUUCAGAAAUGCUCAAUAAAUGAAAAAGUUUUCCCCUAAAAAUAACUAAUUUUAUAAUAAUUUGAAGGUCUUAUGCUGGUUGAUUUUCAAACUUAUCAGCAACUCAGAAAUGAAGAGUAAAACACAAUCACAGAUGAGGUUUCUGUAUCUCACAUGAAUGCUGAUUAGCUACUUAUUCACUGCCCUUCUAUCAUUACUUUGAAAUACCAUGAGGCUUAGACUCUUAUAUGCUUCAGAGAUUUUCUUUCAAGCAGUAGAAUAUUAUAUUCUUUAAGAAUAACCAAUAAUAUUUCUUAAAAGGAAAACACCAAAAGAUGCUUACUUUGGGAACAGAUUUAUUAGAAAAAUAUUUUUUGGGGAAAAGAACAGCCUUUAUUCUGUAACUGCAUAAUCACGUUUUCAAAGAGCAACUUCCUAGGCAAAGCCUUGUAAAAAUACAGAUCCUGAUGAAGCUCAACUUAAUUGGAAGGAAAUUGUUUUUAUGUUAAAGUUGACCACCUCUGAAGCUGCCAAAAGAAAAUGAUCUGAUGGAAAAUUAAAUUGAAUUGGGUUGUGCUGCAAAUUGAAUUUUAAGUGAGUAAAAGGUGAGAGAGUUACACACAAGGAGGCUAGCACAGCAAAUGGUGAAUCACCAGCCCGUUAAACAAGUUUUCCUCCGCAUUGAAAAUGAAUUUUCCAUGAAUUCUAAGCUACAAAUAGACUUUAAAAAUCUAGCUUUUUUUGGUCAGGUGUGGUGGCUCAUGCCUGUAAUCCCAGCACUCUGGGAGGCCAAGGCAGGUGGAUCGCCUGAGGUCAGGAGUUUGAGACCAGCCUGGCCAACAUGGUGAAACCCUGUCUCUACUAAAACUACAAAAAUUAGCCAGGCGUGGUUGUGGGUGCCUAUAAUCCCAGCAACUCAGGAGGCUGAGGCAGAAGAAUUGCUUGAACCUGGGAGGUGGAGGGUGCAGUGAGCUGAGAUCACGCCACUGCGCUCCAGCCUGGGAGACAGGGUAAGACUGUCUCCAAGAAAAAAAAAAAGGAAGAAAAAAAUAUUAUUAAACAUGAUAUUGAAUCCAAUACGGUAUAUUUUGCCUGAUAUAAUACAUACGAUGUUGGAGGUCUCAGAAGUCUCAAAGAAAGCUUCAAUUUGGCACAUAAACUAAAGCAAAAUGAAUUGCUCUCAUCACUACCCUCUUAGAGGCAAAUAAUAUAGUAGCACCGAGCUGUAUUUCCUAGGUUCAAAUCCCACCUCCCCAACAAACCAGUUUUGUGACCCUGGGUAAAUUACUUAGCCUCAUCUGUAAAAUGGAGAAUAGUAGGGUAAUAGCUUCUAACUCAUAGGAUUGUUAGGAGGAUUCAACUUGUUAAUACCAAUAAAUCACUUAGACCAGCGGUCCUCAACCUUUUUGGCACCAGGGACCAGUUUUGUGAAGACAAUUUUCCACAGACGGGUUGGGUGGGACCUCAGAUCAUCAGGUAUUAGAUUCUCUGGGUAUUAGAUUCUCAUACGGAGGGCACAACCUAGAUCCCUUGCAUAUGCAGUUCAUAAUAGGGUUCGCGUUCCUAUGAGAAUCUAAUGCUGCCCCUGAUCUGACAGGAGGCGGGGCUCAGGCAGUAAUGCUCACUGGCCCUCUCCUCCCCUCCUGCUGUGCAGACUGGUUCCUAACAGGCCACAGACUGUUACCGGUCUGCAACCAAGGGGGUUGGGGACCCAUGACAUAGACCAUGGUAAGUGCAGAGCACAGAACAAAUGCUGAAUCAGUGUUAUACAGCUACUAUUAUUUAUCAUUUUUAUCCAUAUAUCAAGCUCAGUACAGAUACAUUUAAACCCAAAAUUCUCUUCUGGAAAGUGACCCUUGUUUGCAUUAGAGAACUUACUCACCUUUUGUCGGGGUUGGUUAGGAGCAGAAACCACUACUGUGUUGCAAAUUGCCAAUGCAAUGAAAAAGUCGAUAAUGUACAAAGUUUCCAUUGGUGGAUUUUGGAUGGUCUCAUCUAGUGGCAUAAAGAGCCGAGGUGUAAUCUGACUAAAUUUGUCUAAAAGCCUGGUGUCUGGUACCACGUCUGUUUCCUGAAGAUCCAAUAAGACAGUGUGUUGUUAUAAGAAGUAUAUAAAAAUUAGUUUUAAAUCAACAUGAGAAAUAACUUGUAUAGCCAGGAUCUAAAUGAAUCAUGAGAUGGUAAACUUUAUUUUUCUAAAAACAAUUGUAAUGUAUAUCGUGUCAUGGGAAGUGAGAAUAGGAAAAUAAAAGAUAUAAAAACAAAUGGAUAAUCCAGAAUGCACCUCAUCAAUGGAGACUCUCUUAACUAUUAAACUAAACAGGAGUUUAGUUUUCACCAAAUCUAGUUGAGUGUUUUCUCAUUUUGAAAUACAUAAUAGCAGAGGUAGAUUUUAUUGAGCCCAGAAUUCUACCUCGGUCAUAGAUUUAUUCACCAUCACUUGAUGAAUACUAACUCUUAAACUUUGGGCAUUAUUCAUACCAUGUUAUUGAAACAAAGUAUUUUAUGGUUCAAGUUACUGCUAUUGUAAAAAACAACUCUCCAAAAAUAAAAAUGAUUAUAAGCAGGCUAACAUAUUUUAUCAGCAUUUUCAAGUAAUACAAGACAUUAAUAAGGGUUCUUCCAGAUUUCUGAUCACCACAUACAUUUGGCAACUAUACUUUCUUCUCAGUACAGGUUUGCUCUAAGAAGUUGUUAUUGAAAAAAUGUACUCCAUUUUGUUUGACACAAUGCUUCUCACACGUGAGAGUACGAGUUUUGACAAAAUAAUGUUGUAGUAGAAAUCUAAGUAUAAUCCAGUAACAUAUAGUUAACUGCUUUAGAAAUUUUUCAGCUGAGUCAAAGGAGGAACCACAUGCUCAAAAUCAAGGUUGUACAAAAGCACCAUUGUAUUCUAAGAGUCCUAGAGGCAGCUGGCCUGCAAAGCACAGUGACUGCAGGAAAGCCAGGAGAGGAGAUUUAGAGAAAAGAGUAAAAUAUAAGGAUGUAUGACAUGGACUCAGAAGAUUAUGGUUUGCACUUAUGCUUAAAAGUUUGGUGAGAGUUAGCAUAGGUUUAAUAAGAAGAGAGCAUGGGAUGGAAACCAUAUGGGUUUAGGUUCAGGUCUUAGCUCCACUGCAUACUAACUGGAGGUCUUGGGCAGCUUACUUAACCUCCUUUUCCUCUUCUACCUAAUGGUAAAAAUAACACUUACCUCCCAGGUGGCUGUAUAAAGUAAAUGAGAUAAUGACUAAGAUGAGACCAGUAGAACAGGAACCUAAGUCAUUUAAUGUUCCUUUUCCUUCUUUCUUUCUCAAAUGACACACUCACCUUCAGACAGGUUAGCAGUCUCACCUGGCUUCCAGACUCACCAAGUUACCUGCUGUCAAAAAGCAUUGCUAAGUUUCUAUCUAAAUUCAUUAAUUCUACUGGCUUGUGCUAUUUGACUUAGCAAAAUUUGAAUCUUGUUCAGUUUGAUGGAGUUCAUAGCCAUUCAUGAGCUGAUGGCUGUUAAUUAGUAAGUUGGUCACAUUCUCUCAUGAGUCUCACAUAUAUAGUAGCUCUGAGCUGGCACUUGUGCUAGACCCUCAGUUACUCAGGGAACAACCCUGGCCUUAAGGACCUCCUUGCCAAAGUCAAUAGAAGAAAGUGGUAAAGUUGGAGAGACUUUUUUAUUUGGUCAAUGAAGAGAUGCCUGGGAAAUUUGUUGCAUGGUAUUUUACCAAGGCCUAUGAUUAUGCUCUUGUCUAGUGCUUAUGAGAUUCCACAGGUCAGGGCAAUAUUUCCAAUGGCAUCCUUCUCUGAAUGUUAACAUGGAAUAAGCAAAAAAUUAACAAAGAGUUCUAUACUGAAAUAAGUUUAAGAAAAGUUUAAACAAGUUUUUUAAUUUCAGCAUUUCUCAGAGAGUUUAAUGGGUAUUAGGAAUCUCCAAGAAGAGGCUAGUAUGUGCAGGCUUUCCAAAUUCUAUUUUUUAGAGACUUCUUUUAUAGAAGACAUUUGGGACUGAGUCAGAGACCAUAGAAGCUAAUAGUGAUUUCAUUGUAUCAAUGAUCUCAGCAAUUAUUUGACUAAUAAUUGGUUCAGAACAUAAGGAUUAUCUUGCAUUCUGAAGUCAAUCUAACAUUGAUGAAAGGUUUGCAACUUCUGCAUUUGUGACAAAUGCUAUUUACUACGGUCUAAAUGUUUGUGUCUCCCCAAAAUUUGUAUGCUGAAAUCCUAACCUGCAAGGUGAUGGUAUUAGGAAGUAGGGCUCUUUGGGGAUAAUUAGGUUAAGAGGGCAGUGACUUCAUGAAUGGGAUUAAAGUCCUUAUAAAACAGGUCCAAGGGAGCUUGUCCACCAUAUGAAGACACAGUAAAGAAGGAACUGUUUUUAUGAACCAGGAAGCAGGCCCUCACCAGACCCCAAAUCUGCUGGCUCCUUGAACUUGGACUUUCCAGCCUCCAGAUCUGUGAAAAAUAAAUUUCUGUUGUUUCUAAGCUACCCAGUUUAUGGUAUUUUGUUCUGGCAGCCUGAAUGGACUAAGACACUAUUUAUGUAGUCAACGUAAUAUGCCAUUCAGGGAAUCCGAUGGCUGCAUGACUGAAAGGCUGUGCUGUGGCCACGAGAACAGAAGUAAUACUGAAGUUGGCCCAAGCUGGAGGUGAGUGGGAACAGUGUGUGAAAGUGGGGUUGUGUGGCUUUGGUCAGCAAAACUGUGCUGAGAAGUAUUGCCAAAAUAAAGUGGGAAAAAUCUAGAAAGUCAGGACCAUAGAAGACCUUGAAAAGCACUAUAAAACAACAUACAUAAAAGAGCCCAGAAGAUUUAAGGAAAGGUCUACAUACAAAGAAGCUUCAGGCAUGCUCAUUCUUCUACUUUAGUUUGUCCCACUAAAAUAAGUUAAUUUCUAGUGACUAAGAAGUUAGUCACUGAAUUAAGGUGAAGAUAUAGAGUCACCACAUGCAAUUCUUAUCUGCAUGACUGUAUCCAUAGCUGUUUCUCCCAAGAUCCAAAUCUUCCUUAUUGAGACCCAGGAUUACAUUAUUAGCUUUUGCUCUCUUGUCAGUGAUGGGUGGCUUCUGCCUUCUCUGGAUGCCUGCUAACUUCAGAACCAGACUCAAACCAUCUUGCUUUAAAUAAUUCCUUACAUAGGUAUGGAAUCUCUCCCCAGAGAAUCUGGAAGGCCCAUUAAAGUAAGGACCAUAUCUUAUUGAUCUUUGGAUCCCUAACUCAGUACUUGACACAUGGGUAAGCAAUAAAAGUGUAUUGUCAUAUGUUACUAUAAUUUGCUAAUCUCAUAUCCUAUAAGGAAAGAGAGGGAGAAACAACCAGAGGAAAAAGAUGUCACUCUUUGGAAAAUAAACACAUAUUACCUCCCACUGGGCUCAAGUAGAUAUCUUUUUAAAAUUCAAGAAAAUUUUUACUUCACAAGAGAGCACAGAUUACAGAGUAUGAUGUAGACAGCUUCCUAUAAUGUAAACAAAGCCUUAUUUGGUUUCCUGGUGAGAGUCUAGUAUCUUUGUCCCAAUCUUGCAUGGUAUCUGCCUAUCUCAAAUUUUAGAUUUACCCUCAUAAUUCCUAUUAUGCCUUCCUACUGAGAGACAGGACUAGCUGGAUUUCCUAGGCCGACUAAGAAUCCCUAAGCCUAGCUGGGAAGGUGACUGCUUCCACCUUUAAACACGGGGCUUGCAACUUUGCUCACACCCGACCAAUCAGAUAGUAAGGAGAGCUCACUAAAAUGCUAAUUAGGCAAAAAACAGGAGGUAAACAAAUAGCCAAUCAUCUGUUGCCUGAGAGGACAGCGGGAGGGACAAGGAUAGGGAUAUAAACCCAGGCAUUGGAGCCGGCAACGGCUACCCUCUUUGGGUUCCCUCCCUUUGUAUGGGAGCUCUAUUUCACUCUAUUAAAUCUUGCAACUGCACUCUUCUGGUCCGUGUUUGUUAUGGCUCGAGCUGAGCUUUCGCUCGCUGUCCACCACUGCUGCUUGCCACCAUCGCAGACCCGCCGCUGACUUCCACCCCUGCGGAUCUGGCAGGGUGUCUGCUGUGCUCCUGAUCCAGUGAGGCACCCAUUGCCACUUGCCAUUGUUCCUGCAUGGCUAAGUGCCUGGGUUCAUCCUAAUUGAGUUGAACACUAGUCAGGGGUUCCAUGGUUCUCUUCCGUGACCCAUGGCUUCUAAUAGAGCUAUAACACUCACGGCAUGGCCCAAGAUUCCAUUCCUUGGAAUCCGUGAGGCCAAGAACCCCAGGUCAGAGAACACGAGGCUUGCCACCAUCUUGGAAGUGGCCCGCCACCAUUUUGGAAGCCACACGCCACCAUCUUGGGAGCUCUGGGAGCAAGGACCGCCCCCCCCAACCCCAUGACAUUACUAAGUUGUAGAUUUCACAUUCAGGUUUACUCCUUCCUUUUUUUUCUCUCUCUCCUCUAUUUAAAUUCAAAUUAACAAGUAAAAACUGGCCAAAACUCCCUUUGCCCUCUAAUAGUGUUGGUUGAAUCUUUUGAACGGCUUUCAUAUAAUUUAAAUGUUAAAUUUGUUUUAAAUUUCAUAUAAUUUAAAUGUUAAAUUUGUUUUAAAACAGAGAGAAGCAGCAGCCCACUAUAAUUGUUUAUGCAAAACUUUAAAAACCCACGGUUUAGUAGUGGACAAAGACACUCUAGAUGGGACAUAAAGUUGACCAAGGAGCUCUAAUACUGUUCUUCACUCCUCCCCUAGUUCCACCUCUACCCAAGGUUUUUCAUUUCAUUGCUGGAUGCCACUCUACUCAUUUUAAGCGUUCACCAUUCCACCACUGCAACUUUGGCUUAAGAGUGGACGCAAAUAUCUUCUAUUGCCACCACCCCCUCCCCACUGAUUCCUAAACAACACAGUCCUGAAAAAAAAAAAAAAAAAGACAAAGGUGAAUAACCACAUGCUGACAAUUCCUCCUGCACACCAUGUUCUCCCUUGGCCCUGUGGUUCUGAACGUCUGCACGUACCACGUGCUGUCAGCUCCAAAUGCCUUUCCUUCCUUUUCCAAUCUGUGAACCUCUCUCUACUCAUUAGUUUAAUCCUAACUCAAGUUGUAGCUCUUCCGGGCAGCCUUUCUUGAUCCUUCUUCACUCCCUUAGAGGUGAUCAUUCCCUUCUUUGUGACCUUACUAUACUUUGGAUUAACUACUAUGACUACAUCUUUAAUACAGGUUUAUAAUUAUUCAUUUAUAUGUCUCUCUUCUCUAUCUAGAACAAAACUGAAGGCUGAGGCCACGUCUUAUUCACUUUAUAUCCCCAUGUCCAGUAUUGUGCCAUGCCUUCCAUUAAUUCAUUAAUAAAUUCAUUAUCCCAUAAAUAUUUAUUGCUAAUCUAUGGUGCCAGGCACCCCUGAAGGUAAGAGGAGUGCAUAGAACAGACAGGAUCCUGGCUUCCAGGGAACUCACAUUCUACCUGGGGGAGACAAUAGAUCCAAAACUAUCCCAACAGCAAAUAAAUAAGAUGCCUUUAUAUUGAGACAGAGAGAGACAAGGGAGAGAUGGAAUGUACUUGGAACUGGGUGACAGAGAAAGCUUCACUGAGAAGGUAUUUGAGCUGAGGCUCAAUGACAGAAAGGAGACAGCUAUACAAAGAUCUAAGAGAAGAGCAUUUCGUGUAGAAUAAACAGUAUGCUUGUUGAAUGAAAAACUCCAGAAGAUUAAAGAUGCAUAAACAUACUGGCUUACAAAGCAGAGGUUUCUAUUUCUAAAAUAGGUACUAUGAACCCAGGACUCAUGGGCCUCAGUGACAUUCUAAUGCCCAAAGGCUGGUACAUCUUCAUCAGCACCCUGCCUAGCAUCCUCACUUGCUGGCUCGUAACUCGCCUCCUUUGAAGGGUGCCAUCUUACAACCUUCCACUUGUAGACAUCACAACUCUCAGAAUGCCCUCAAGCUGGCAUUCUUAACCUGGGCUCCACAGAUGGGCUUUUAGAAUUUUAUAUGAUAUAUUUGCAGAUGCUCAUUUUUCAGAUCAAAUAUUAUGUAGUUUUCUCAAAAUAAUCUUUAGUCUUCAAAAAGAUAAAAUCAACUUGUUUAGACCAAGAUUGAGAAAUAAUCUUAUACAUUGAGGAAGACCAUAACCUAGUUAUUCUAUAUAUUAGGGGUAUGGUUUUGCAAAACACAAACAAAACAAGGACAACAGUAACAGCAGCACAAGAGCAUCCACAUAAUCAGCAAUGACAUUGGAGUAUAAGGCAAAUGAAAAGAAAAUGGCCCAGAUGAAAAGACAGCCUGGUAAGUAGCUUCCUUCAACAACCUUUAAAAAUACUUUAUUGAGAAUGGACAUGCCAGCCUUUGUGCUAGAUGUUGAUUCAAGAUGGAUAAAUCCUUCUCUCAGGGAGUUAAUGGUGGAUUGCCAGAGGCAGAAAUAAGACCAAUGCCAUGUGGAUGAAGGGACGGAGGGACGGAGGGACGGUGUAAACAGAGCUCGGAUGCUGAAAGAAGAGAAUCUGAGAGGUCUUCAGAAAAAGGUGAUAUUUUUAAUUUAGUUCUUAAAGAAAUAAAUAUUUCACCAGAUUUGAUGGAUAGAGGUAGUAUAUGAAGAGAGAAUAUAUUUUAGAUGAGGUAAAUUUAUCUAUAAAGGGACAAAGACUUUAAACUAAGAAAUAACCAAUCAUUUGUUCCACGAAUAGGGUGAGGUUUGAUCAAGAAACCAAUAAGGUGUGGCACAGAUCCACCUUAUUACCAAACUGUGCUGCUUCUGUCUAAACAAGAGCCAACAUGUUCUUACUUUCAGGUGGAUGGAAAAUGAAAAGUUCAAUACAAGGAUAGAUAAAAAGAUAAAAUAGAAGAAAAUAUAUCGAUAGAAAAAUAGAAGAAAAAUAUAUUUCCGAUAUGGGCUUAUAAUGAGUACACAGAAUGAACUGUGUACAUUCUUCUUCCAUUUCAAAAGUUGGAGAAAUAUUAAGUCUUGGAAUCACUUGACAUAUGGCUAAGAUAUAAUAUAAUAGUUUUUAUAUUAGUGCCACAGAAAUGAGCUGGACUAAAAUGAUCACUCCAGUUGCUGUAAUUAUGCAUUUGUUGACAAUUUGAGAAGAGCCAGGAUCCUGGGAAGUUCGAGGCCUUCCCAGGACAAAUGAGACCCCAGGGGUCUACUCAUAUCAUGUCUCUACUGUGAAAACCAUAUGAUAAAUUCAAUGUAGAAACAUAAAGCUUCCCCAAAGCUGGUUUAUUCUUGUUGUCACCUAUUUUGUAGGUAUUAUCAGUCUGAUGGCUGGGAAAUCCUCAUUUUGGUAAAACACAAGACUUAAUAAAAUGUAAAAGGCAAAGAAGGAAAUUGAACUUUUAUACAGGUAAUUUUAAAUACAGCAAAAAUUUCUAAUUUUUUUCACACAGCACCUUUCCCUCUUUU
rnacentral:lncRNA from 10 species